AAAUUCAGAGUGUGCUACAUCAGUUAUCUUGUAGGGUCAGUGUCAUCUUAUUGGGUCAGUGUCAUCUUAUUCUUUUUCAGUUUGUAUUAUGUAUUGCCGUUUUACACUACUUGAUCAUGCUAAGUGAAAAGGAAUACUUUCUAUCUUAUUCUGCUUUCUGUAAUAUUUUGUUCCAUUAUUUGGGUGACCUACCAGCUACGAAACAUACAAAUAGUAUGUGUAUGUUUUAUUUUAGUUUUUUUCUUUGUUUUUAGCAGCUUAAUUAUGAUGUUUUUUGAAGGGUGUUUUGGAGGUUGUACAAAUAAUUCUUGCGGUUUAUCCUACUUGAAAAAUUUAUCAUGAGUUAGUAGAUCGAUCUAGAAUCAUUUCCAUGGAAGUUAUGGGUGGAAGCGAUGUUUAAGGUGGACUUGCUGAGUGAUCAUAUUUAAUAUUUAUUGAAAUUGAUUUUGAUUAGUUAGAUGUCUCGUUUAUUGAUUCUCUAACACAAAUUGGCAUCCGGGUUGACUUGCUAAGGCGCUUAUUUUGUAAUGAGUGAACGCGGGCUUGAUUCUAGGUCAAAAGCCGCAUCCCAUGGACUACUAAGAAGAAGCUACCACAUAAUUUUAAGAGCAACAUUUGGUGUAAGAAUUAUCAAGGUAUUAACAUUGAUGCACUAGCGGCAGCAUGGAUGUAAAAAGUUUAAUUGAUCAGUAUGUUAACUACGUUUCGCAUUGUUUGUUUGAAAGUUUAACUGUUAACCACCCAAAUUACAGUUUUCCGCUUUAUUAUUUUGUUUAAUAAAAACAUCAAUCAAAACAUAAAAAUGGGCUAGGGAUGAAACGCAGGGUACAUUUACUAGUUGGUGACAUUUGAGUGUCCAUAUAUUGAAUGUGUACAUGCUGCUAAAGUAUAUAAAAAAGUGACACUUGUAAGUGAUUUAUG